CAUUAGUUAGCCCUUAAAAACGUUUCUCCAGGUUUUAUGGCAUUGAGCCCACUGCAUUCUUAUUGUUAGAAGUCUUUAUAGACAUCCAAGUGCUAACAAAUGCGAAAUAAAGGAACCUGUUUUUCAUGUUGCCAGAGGAAAACUUCAAACCAAAGGAAAAGCAGAAAAAGAAAUAUUUGUUCAAGAUUUUCUAAACUCCAUUGAGAACGUGAUUCAGAUGCACUGUCAACUUUCCAACUCACACCUGAGUUCACCUGGAAACCAAAGGCAAGUGUUCCUGUGCUCAUGCCCUCAGAAAAAGAAGAGGAUAGAGAAAAGAAAUCUAAACGUACUUUGACAAUUAGGCAGAACAACUCUGGGCGUCUCCUCACAGACCACAUUCUGCAGUACUAUGACCAUCUUCAUAGUUGUGUACUGGACUUGUCCCAGCGUGUCAAUGUCUUUCCUUUAUCAGGGAGGCCAAGACUUAAUGCAGUAGUACAAUGAAGUGUGAUGAGUGCUACAUUGAGGAGAAAAAUUAGUUCCCUUAAGCUAUUGGCUACACUCUCAUUAAUGAAAAUCACUUUGCUAAUGUGAACAGCCUUCUGCAAGGGCACAGUAACAUAUCUAUGAAAAUA
ensembl:lncRNA